rnacentral:rRNA from 1 species
GAGUUUGAUCCUGGCUCAGAUUGAACGCUGGCGGCAUGCCUUACACAUGCAAGUCGAACGGCAGCACGGGAGCUUGCUCCUGGUGGCGAGUGGCGAACGGGUGAGUAAUGCAUCGGAACGUAUCCUGGAGUGGGGGAUAACGUAGCGAAAGUUACGCUAAUACCGCAUAUUCUGUGAGCAGGAAAGCGGGGGACCUUCGGGCCUCGCGCUCUUGGAGCGGCCGAUGUCGGAUUAGCUAGUUGGUGAGGUAAAGGCUCACCAAGGCGACGAUCCGUAGCAGGUCUGAGAGGAUGAUCUGCCACACUGGAACUGAGACACGGUCCAGACUCCUACGGGAGGCAGCAGUGGGAAUUUUGGACAAGUGGGGCAACCCUGAUCCAGCCAUGCCGCGUGAGUGAAGAAGGCC